AAGGGAGACCUAAUUCCGGUAGGAGACGAAAAAAAAGUAGUCCCAACCAAGAAUCAAUCCCAAAAGGUCGGAACGAGGUAUGAGGCUUUCAAACUAGGUUCUGGGUUCAUAAAAGACCUGAAUCAGGAGCAAGGGCUAUUAGCUCAGGUGGUUAGAGCGCACCCCUGAUAAGGGUGAGGUCCCUGGUUCGAGUCCAGGAUGGCCCACCUGCACAGGUGGCAAAAACAAGAGAAGCUCCGAAUCAGCACCUUAUCUUAUAUACAUAUAUAAGAGAGAAUGCUGGCUCUGAGUACAGAGUCCAGAGGAACCUUGAAAACUGCAUAGAGCUAGGUGAAAAAGCCAAAAAAGAAGACCGCAA
rnacentral:tRNA from 1 species